rnacentral:misc_RNA from 1 species
GAUGAAGAACGCAGCGAAAUGCGAUACGUAAUGUGAAUUGCAGAAUUCAGUGAAUCAUCGAAUCUUUGAACGCAUAUUGCGCUCUCUGGUAUUCCGGAGAGCAUGCUUGUUUGAGUAUCAGUAAACACCUCAACUUCCAUAUCUUUUUUUGAAAUGGGAGUUGGACUUGAGUGAUCCCAACGCUUUUCCUCACCGAAAAGUGGCGGGUUACUUGAAAUGCAGGUGCAGCUGGACUUUUCUCUGAGCUAUAAGCAUAUCUAUUUAGUCUGCCUAAAAAACAGAUUAUUACCUUUGCUGCAGCUAACAUAAAGGAGAUUAGUUCUUGUGCUGACUGAUGCGGGAUUCACAAAGACAGCUUCGGCCGACUUUGUAAACUCGAUCUCAAAUCAAGUAAGACUACCCGCUGAACUUAAGCAUAUCAAUAGCGGAGGA